UGCCAGAUUGGCUGAAACUAUACUUGGGCUA
rnacentral:piRNA from 2 species